rnacentral:misc_RNA from 1 species
AAGACUAUAGACCUGCGGAGUACCUGCGGAAGGAUCAUUAACGUAUCUAUGAUGGGGUGCGGAGCGCCCUGCUCCGGUCGAACGGCCGUGCAGCGGGUGCGCCGCCCCCGUCCCACCUCACAAACCCACUGUGAACAUUCACCGGUGGAGGGGACUCGGUCUGCGCCGUGUCCCCGAUGCCGAAUACCCAAACUCCAGUUGCAAAGAACGUCGUGCGGACUCGGUGCCGCCUAAAACAUG